rnacentral:rRNA from 1 species
CGCGUAGGCGGGUGUGCAAGUCGAUUGUGAAAGCCCCGGGCUUAACCUGGGAACUGCAGUCGAUACUACACAUCUUGAGUGCUUAAGAGGGUGGUGGAAUUCCUGGUGUAGUAGUGAAAUACGUAGAUAUCAGGAGGAACAUCGGAGGCGAAGGCGGCCACCUGGUGAGACACUGACGCUGAGGCGCGAAAGUGUGGGGAUCAAACAGGAUUAGAUACCCUGGUAGUCCACACCGUAAACGAUGGAUACUAGAUGUUCGGAGAGUUAACCCUCUGAGUAUCAAAGCUAACGCAUUAAGUAUCCCGCCUGGGGAGUACGGCCGCAAGGCUAAA